rnacentral:lncRNA from 10 species
UUCCAAAGUAGAGUAAAAUUUCAGACUCUUCUCAGUUCUUGACGGUGUUUGGUGAUGAAGAUUGGGAUGCUAAUAGAAAUAAUGGCUUUCUGGAAGAGAGAAGACAAGGGCUCCCAUGGGCUGGGUGAAAGGAUAUGAGAACUCCCUGGGAUCUGGUAGCAAAUGUUCUUGCUCAAGUGGUGGGCAAGGGGGAAGGAAAAUUUGGCAAAUCUAAUGUAUUUGCCUUAUAAUCUCCUUUUUUUUUUUUUUUUUUUUUUGAGACAGGGUUUCCCUCUCAUGCCUCAGGAUGGAAUGCAAUGGCGUGAUCUUGGCUCACUGCAACCUCAGCCUCCCAGGUUCAAGCGAUUCUCCAGCCUCAGCCUCCCGAGUAGCUGGGAUUACAGGCAUGCGCCAUCAUGCCUGAAUAAUUUUUGUAUUUUUAGUAGUGACAGAGUUUCACCAUGUUGGCCAGGCAGGUCUUGAACUCCUGACCUCAAGUGAUCCUCCCACCCUGGCCUCCCAAACUGCUAGGAUUACAGGCAUGAGCCACCACUUCCAGCCUAAGCUCCACCUCUUAAUGGGUUCUGUUUCUUUCUAAAGAGCAAAAAAUACACGAAUACUCAAUAUUAUCAUCAUUUCUUUUUUUCUACAAUUUCUUUUAAAUAAAACCCAUUCUUCAAAAUUAUUGCUACAAAAUAACCAGAGAAACUUCAGCAACGUCAGCUCCACAUAUCUCCAUAAUGUCCCCCGUUCCUUGUCCUCUUCAAUAGACUAAUAUUACUUUGAACAGGAAAAAAAAACAACAUAUGACAAAACCAAAACCUCUUCCUUUCUUCAAACAACUCAAUGUUCAUCAUUCUUCUACUAUGAAUGUUCAUACAUCUUCUACUAUGAAAUAGUACCCUGGGCUCAUGAGAGACUCCACUAUGGUCAAGGAAUGGAAUCCAGAUUAUCUGACUGAAUCUUCCACCCAUAUAGAUGUCACUAAAUAUGUGUGUGAACUCAAAGCAAAUAACAGAGAAACACAAUAUAAAAAUGGCUUUAAUAUACCAACGUACAGAUUAUUCAGUUCCAUUGUAAUUUCCCAAAUAAUUUUAGAUUAUAAUUUUCAGAAAGGAUUUUUAACAUCUGCUAGGCUAAUUCCAUCAUAUUAGUAUAUGAAAUUAUCUUUUCUCCAGUUAUUUAUAAUCUUUCUAAAUAUUUUAAAAUACAGUAUAUUUUCACAACAAAUUUUAUUUUCCCCACAACAAAGAAUUAUCCCACUUCUCUAGUAAUUUCCAUCGUGCAAGAAUGUAGAAUAUAGACUAAUAAGCCUAAAUAGGAUCUAAAAAGGCAAGUUACCUAAAACCCUUCUUGUCUAACCAUAUUAAGGCCCAAGUUUACCUAGAGUCACAAUUGUAGUUAACAAGUGCUAUUUCUCUGGUUGUUUUUUGUUGUUGUUGUUGUUGUUUUUGUUUUUUUUUUUUGAGAUGGAGUCUCACUCUGUCACCCAGGCAGGAGUGCAGUGGCGCGAUCUCAGCUCACUGCAAGCUCCGCCUCCUGGGUUCAUGCCAUUCUCUUGCCUCAGCCUCCCGAGUAGCUGGGAGUACAGGCACCCGCCACCACGCCUGGCUAAUUUUUUGUAUUUUUAGUAGAGACAGGGUUUCACCAUGUUAGCCAGGAUGGUCUCGAUCUCCUGACCUCGUGAUCCGCCAGCCGUGGCCUCCCAAAGUGCUGGGACUACACGUGUGAGCCACCAUGCCCGGCCUUGUUUUUGUUUUUGCCAAGUUUCACCAUGUUGCCCAGGAUAUCCUCAAACUCCUGGGCUCAAGUGAUUCUCCAGCCUCAGCCUCCUGAGUAGCUGGGAAUAGAAGAGCAUGCCACUGUGUCUGGCUUCUCUGUGACUUUCUUAAUGUGCAGAAACCAAAACAGGUAAUAGUAUUUAAUAAGAAUGUCCUGGUAAUUUUUUUUAAAUCUAAAAGUAGACAAAAAGGGAAGGGAAAAAUUCAUAUGCAGAUGAAAAAUAUUCUAUUACUGUGGAUCCUUGAUUUUUUGUAUAGAUCUUAACAAUGAUUUAUGAGGUUCUCAAUGACAAUUUAAUAAAACUGCAAAAUUCAUUAAGAGCAUCACAGAAGGCCAGGCACAGUGGCUCACAUCAGAGAAAUAAGAUUAUGAAUUUACUGAGGCAUACAAAUUGGAAUCUACAUUUACCAUCUUGUACAAAUAGGAAAGUUUCUAAUAACUUAUUAACAAAAUCAUUCUGAAACCUUUACACAAAUCAGCCUGCUUUAAAUAAAAAGGUUAGAAACAUUAUGAUAACUAUGUACAAAGUAUAUAUCUGUAUACUCUAACAUUCUAAAUAAAGGUAUCUUUGAAAAUUUACUAUUAUACAGUAUUAGUACCAUACUCUAUAAUGAGCAAAGAAAGAAUAUGAGAACUCUUGGGCUCAGUACAGUGUAAAUAUGUUCAAAAUGCUAUACACAUUUUGCCUGGAAAGAUUUAAAAAAUCCCACAUAAUCACAUAAACCACUGGACUGACUUUUAAAAACUUUAAAAAAGAUAUUUAAAGAUAUGGCUCAUUAAGCAAACAUUUAGUGAUCAUAUCUCACUGCAGCCUCGAACUCCUGGGCUCAAGUGAUCCUCCUGCCUCAAUUGGCAAAUGGGCAAAAGAUAUGAACAGAUCUAUGGUUUUGAUCAUUUCAUUUAGUGUUAUGU